GUGUCAGCCGCCGCGGUAACACCGGCGGCCCGAGUGGUGGCCACUAUUAUUGGGUCUAAAGGGUCCGUAGCCGGUUUGGUCAGUCUUCCGGGAAAUCUGACGGCUUAACCGUUAGGCUUUCGGGGGAUACUACCAGGCUUGGGACCGGGAGAGGUAAGAGGUACUACGGGGGUAGGAGUGAAAUCUUGUAAUCCCCGUGGGACCACCAGUGGCGAAGGCGUCUUACCAGAACGGGUCCGACGGUGAGGGACGAAAGCUGGGGGCACGAACCGGAUUAGAAACCCCUGUAGUCC
rnacentral:rRNA from 1 species